AUGCAACACCGCAAGACCCUUCCACACCCUGUUGAUCUAUUAAGCCCUCCCCCUUUAAUGCUAAUCAUGUAAAUUAGCAUAAUGCAACACCGCAAGACCCUUCCACACCCUGUUGAUCUAUUAAGCCCUCCCCCUUUAAUGCUAAUCAUGUAAAUUAGCAUAAUGCAACACCGCAAGACCCUUCCACACCCUGUUUAUCUCUUAAUCCCUCCCCCUUUAAUGCUAAUCAUGCAAAUUAGCAUAAUGCAGCACCCCAAGACCCUUUCACACCCUGUUUAUCUCUUAAUCCCUCCCCCUUUAAUGCUAAUCAUGUAAAUUAGCAU